UACGAAGGGGGCUAGCGUUGCUCGGAAUCACUGGGCGUAAAGGGUGCGUAGGCGGGUCUUUAAGUCAGGGGUGAAAUCCUGGAGCUCAACUCCAGAACUGCCUUUGAUACUGAGGAUCUUGAGUUCGGGAGAGGUGAGUGGAACUGCGAGUGUAGAGGUGAAAUUCGUAGAUAUUCGCAAGAACACCAGUGGCGAAGGCGGCUCACUGGCCCGAUACUGACGCUGAGGCACGAAAGCGUGGGA
rnacentral:rRNA from 1 species